rnacentral:rRNA from 1 species
GAAGUAUCUUGGUAUGUAAACCUCUUUUCUCAAGAAAGAAGUUCUGACGGUACUUGAGGAAUAAGCAUCGGCUAACUCCGUGCCAGCAGCCGCGGUAAUACGGAGGGUGCAAGCGUUAAUCGGAAUUACUGGGCGUAAAGCGCGCGUAGGCGGCUUUGUAAGUCGGAUGUGAAAGCCCUGGGCUCAACCUGGGAACUGCAUUCGAUACUGCCAAGCUAGAAUAUGGGAGAGGGAAGUGGAAUUUCCGGUGUAGCGGUGAAAUGCGUAGAUAUCGGAAGGAACACCAGUGGCGAAGGCGGCACUCUGGACCAAUACUGACACUGAGGUGCGAAAGCGUGGGUAGCAAACAGGAUUAGAUACCCUGGUAGUCCACGCCCUAAACUAUGUCAACUAGCCGUUGGGUUCAAUUAAGAGCUUAGUGGCGCAGCUAACGCGUUAAGUUGACCGCCUGGGGAGUACGGCCGCA